rnacentral:rRNA from 1 species
GAUGAACGCUGGCGGCGUGCCUAAUACAUGCAAGUCGAGCGAACAGACGAGGAGCUUGCUCCUCUGACGUUAGCGGCGGACGGGUGAGUAACACGUGGAUAACCUACCUAUAAGACUGGGAUAACUUCGGGAAACCGGAGCUAAUACCGGAUAAUAUAUUGAACCGCAUGGUUCAAUAGUGAAAGACGGUUUUGCUGUCACUUAUAGAUGGAUCCGCGCCUCAUUAGCUAGUUGGUAAGGUAUCGGAUUACCAAGGCAACGAUGCGUAGCCGACCUGAGAGAGUAUUCGCCCACAGUGUAACUGAGCUAAAGUGCAUGCUCCGUAGGGAGGCAACGAUAGGGAAUCAUCCGCGAUGCGCGAAAGCAUGACGGAGCAACACCGCGUGAAUGAUGAAGGUCUUCGGAUCGUAAAACUCUCUUAUUAGGGAAGAACAAAUGUGUAAGUAACUAUGAACGUCUUGACGGUACCUAAUCAGAAAGCCACGGCUAACUACGUG